CAGGGCCUGAGAUGCACGUGUAACUUAUAAUGUUCAACCGACAGACUAAAUUCGGGAUUUUCGAUAUCAUUAUGGAUGUCAAACUUCAUUUAAUUUACAGAAGGAGGCAGAAGUAAUGUGAGAAGAACCCACCUGCCUUAGAGAGCGGGUAUUGAACAUAUAAGGGGACGACAUUUUGGGUAUUAU
rnacentral:other from 1 species